GACGAACGCUGGCGGCGUGCCUAAUACAUGCAAGUCGAACGCAGUGGGGACGGGUGAGUAACACGUGGGUAACCUCCCAUCAGAGGGGAUAACACUUGGAAACAGGUGCUAAACCGAUACUGAUGGAUGGAACCGCGGUGCAUUAGCUAGUUGGUGAGGUAACGGCUCACCAAGGCCACGAUGCAUAGCGGGCCUGAGAGGGUGACCUGCCACACUGGAACUGAGACACGGCCCAGACUCCUACGGGAGGCAGCAGUGGGGAAUCUUGGGCAAUGGGCGAAAGUCUGACCGAGCAACGCCGCGGGAGUGAAGAAGGUUUUCGGGUCGUAAAGCUCUGUUGUUGGGGAAGCGGUAUCUGACCAAGAAGCCACGGCUAACUACGUGCCAGCAGCCGCGGUAAUAC
rnacentral:rRNA from 1 species